rnacentral:tRNA from 1 species
GGGCCCAUAGUUUCAAUCGGUAAAAUGGCGGUCUCCAAAACCGUAGUUCACCGUUCGAGUCGGUGUGGGCCUGCCA